rnacentral:rRNA from 1 species
UGGGGAAUUUUGGACAAUGGGGGAAACCCUGAUCCAGCCAUCCCGCGUGUGCGAUGAAGGCCUUCGGGUUGUAAAGCACUUUUGGCAGGAAAGAAACGUCAUGGGUUAAUACCCCGUGAAACUGACGGUACCUGCAGAAUAAGCACCGGCUAACUACGUGCCAGCAGCCGCGGUAAUACGUAGGGUGCAAGCGUUAAUCGGAAUUACUGGGCGUAAAGCGUGCGCAGGCGGUUCGGAAAGAAAGAUGUGAAAUCCCAGAGCUCAACUUUGGAACUGCAUUUUUAACUACCGGGCUAGAGUGUGUCAGAGGGAGGUGGAAUUCCGCGUGUAGCAGUGAAAUGCGUAGAUAUGCGGAGGAACACCGGUGGCGAAGGCAGCCUACUGGGAUAACACUGACGCUCAUGCACGAAAGCGUGGGGAGCAAACAGG